UACAGGGGGUGCAAACGUUGCUCGGAAUUAUUGGGCGUAAAGCGCACGUAGGCGGUUCGUUAUGUCGGAUGUGAAAGCCCUUGGCUCAACCGAGGAAGUGCAUCCGAAACUGGCGAGCUAGAGUAUGUAAGAGGGUCGCGGAAUUCCCGGUGUAGAGGUGAAAUUCGUAGAUAUCGGGAGGAACACCGGUGGCGAAGGCGGCGGCCUGGGACAAUACUGACGCUGAGGUGCGAAAGCGUGGGGAGCAAACAGG
rnacentral:rRNA from 1 species